CCUUCGAUAGCUCAGUUGGUAGAGCGGUGGACUGUAGAGUGGUUUACUAAAGAUAUAGACAUCCAUAGGUCGCUGGUUCAAAUCCGGCUCGAAGGA
rnacentral:tRNA from 1 species